GUCUCUUCUGAUGUUCACAGCAACCCAACUUCAAGCAGAAGUUUGUGGCCUUAUUGAAGAGAUUCAAAGUCACAGAUGAGGUUCUGGACUCAGACCCGGUGGAUCAGACACAGGAGGUGGAGGAGGAUCUGGAUCUGCUUUAUGACAGUCUGGAGGUUUUUAAUCAGAGCGACAGCGGCCCGGAGCUGGAGGACAACGAGAGCGUCCUGAGCACCCCGAAACCCAAACUCAAGCCGUUUUUUGAGGGCAUGUCUCACUCCAGUUCUCAAACAGAGAUCGGCAGCGUUCACAGUCACAAUCAACACCGAGACGCAGCGUCCA